CCUACGGGCGGCUGCAGUGGGGAAUAUUGGACAAUGGGGGCAACCCUGAUCCAGCCAUGCCGCGUGUGUGAAGAAGGCCCUCGGGUUGUAAAGCACUUUCAGUGAGGAAGAACGCCUGGUGGUUAAUACCCAUCAGGAAAGACAUCACUCACAGAAGAAGCACCGGCUAACUCCGUGCCAGCAGCCGCGGUAAUACGGAGGGUGCGAGCGUUAAUCGGAAUUACUGGGCGUAAAGCGCGCGUAGGUGGCUUGAUAAGCCAGUUGUGAAAGCCCCGGGCUCAACCUGGGAACGGCAUCCGGAACUGUCAAGCUAGAGUGCAGGAGAGGAAGGUAGAAUUCCCGGUGUAGCGGUGAAAUGCGUGGAGAUCGGGAGGAAUACCAGUGGCGAAGGCGGCCUUCUGGACUGACACUGACACUGAGGUGCGAAAGCGUGGGUAGCAAACAGGAUUAGAUACCCCAGUAGUC
rnacentral:rRNA from 1 species